UUUUCCAUCCGUCGACGGUUUCCAUCUUUUUGCCUUCAUUUCUUUCAUUCUCCUUCAAUGGAGAUUUAUCGAUUUCAUUCUCCAUUUUUCACAGUUUCGAGCACCACAUUAUGCUCAGAAUGCCAAAAACCCAACCAUUCUCGGAAAGGAUUUCUGAGUACAUGAUAGGGAACUCAACGACGUUAUAAUCCAAGACGAGGGGAACACGCCGCACGGGCAGCCCGAACCUCCUGCAACAGCCAAUGUCGAGGCAUGCCGCAAGGACGAAAGAGGUGCAACAACCAAAGAAGGAUCGCCCCCAAGCCGCCUCGCUACCGUGACUUCACGUGACAUUAGAGAUAGCAGAUCUUUUAUUAUUUGUUGCCUUAUUUAAUUUCCCUAUUUUUGGAUAUUUUUGCUUAGAAUAUUAUUAUUAAAUCU